AUUGAACGCUGGCGGCAUGCUUUACACAUGCAAGUCGAACGGCAGCGCGGGCUUCUGCCUGGCGGCGAGUGGCGAACGGGUGAGUAAUACAUCGGAACGUGCCCAGUAGUGGGGGAUAGCUCGGCGAAAGCCGGAUUAAUACCGCAUACGACCUGAUGGUGAAAGCGGGGGAUCUUCGGACCUCGCGCUAUUUGAGCGGCCGAUGGCAGAUUAGCUAGUUGGUGGGGUAAAGGCCUACCAAGGCGACGAUCUGUAGCUGGUCUGAGAGGACGACCAGCCACACUGGGACUGAGACACGGCCCAGACUCCUACGGGAGGCAGCAGUGGGGAAUUUUGGACAAUGGGCGAAAGCCUGAUCCAGCAAUGCCGCGUGUGUGAUGAAGGCCUUCGGGUUGUAAAGCACUUUUGGCGGGAACGAAAAGGACUGUGCCAAUACCACGGUUCGAUGACGGUACCCGCAGAAUAAGCACCGGCUAACUACGUG
rnacentral:rRNA from 1 species